CUAAGAAUCUUCCACAAUGGACGGAAGUCUGAUGGAGCGACGCCGCGUGGACGAUGAAGGCCGUGAGGUUGUAAAGUCCUUUUCGGGAGGGGGAAUAACCUGGGGAGGGAAUGCCCCGGGGAUGACGUGAAUCCCGGAAUAAGCCCCGGCUAACUACGUGCCAGCAGCCGCGGUAAUACGUAGGGGGCGAGCGUUGUUCGGAAUCAUUGGGCGUAAAGGGUGCGCAGGUGGCCUUUCAAGUCUGGCGUUAAAGUUCGGGGCUCAACUCCGUGAUGCGCUGGAAACUGGAGGGCUAGAGUACAGCAGGGGGCAUCGGAAUUCCAGGUGUAGGGGUGAAAUCUGUAGAUAUCUGGAAGAACACCGGUGGCGAAGGCGGAUGCCUAGGCAUGUACUGACACUGAGGCACGAAGGUGCGGGGAGCAAACAGG
rnacentral:rRNA from 1 species